CCGGGCCGCGGUAUCCUAACCGUGCAAAGGUAGCAUAAUCACUUGCCUAUUAAUUGUAGGCUAGAAUGAAAGGGUUAACGAAAUAAAGACUGUCUCAGUUAGCCAGCUAAAAAUUAAUAUCUAUCUGAAGAAGGGUAGAUACACUCGAAGGACAAGAAGACCCUAUAGAGCUUAAUUUUACUUAUAGAACCUCACUAUAAAAAUAUUCGGUUGGGGCGACCAAGGGUAAAAUAAUCACCCAAAUUAUAAAAGAUACAUUAAUCAAACAACUGACCCUUAAAAGAUCAUAAAAACAAGCUACCUUAGGGAUAACAGGCUAAUCCCACUCAAGAGUCCUUAAAAACAGUGGGGUUUGGCACCUCGAUGUUGGCUUACA
rnacentral:rRNA from 1 species